GAUAAUAAAAUUCUGUGUAACUAAAAAAAAAAAAGGUUAUAAAGAUAUUCUAGGAGAGAAGGGAAAGGAUGCUUUAUGGUUAUCAGAUGGAUACUAACCACAGAAACACAGAGGAGAAUCAUUAGAAGCAGAAAUAGGAAACAACAGAAUGCAGACAGCGUUGCCUGUUCUGACUCUUCUCUCAAUAGCUUCAUAACUUGGGUGGUGUGGAGCUCUUAGGAGAAAUCAGAGCUGAUGAAACUAUCAUAGGAAGUUCCACACAAACAUGCAGAAGAACCUUUUCAUGGAGGAUUUACAGAGAAAUCAUAUAAUCUCUCAGCAUUUCAGUGGUGGAUUGCCGUGACCAGGCUUCUUCACAACCUGUCUGAAGAUGGGCUUUCAGUUCUUUAAUCACAUUUCUAGCUCUUUCCAUACUGGUGAGCUCUCCAGGAUGAAUUUCCCUUCCUGGAGUUUGACCCUGAUGGAAAUAUUGCUGUAUCCUCAGAUUCCUCUUUUUUUUUUUUUUUGGUCUUUUUAUAGCUAUAAUAUACCAGCACCUCACAGUAACCAUAGUCUUACCUAGUGUAUCCAGGUCAAACUUUUUCUCUCUUAUUUCUAAUAGGAGUGCUCCCAGCUUUUAACAAAAACUUCUUCUGUAAUAGAAUAUCUUUAUAGACAUGACCUUUCUUGUUUAUUAUUACAUUCCCUUUAAUACACAAGUCUUCAAAGUUACACAAUCCCUGCAGUAUGGCACUGCACUCUGAAUCUCUUCUGCAAAAGAUGUGUCAGCAAAUUUUAGCAGUGUCCUUGUUUUUCUCUGUGCCUUGCUCAUGAAUGAGAUUCCCUCCAGCCCAGCAGUUCAUCUUUCAUCAAAAACUGCAUCACCUCUCCUUUAGCUGGCUAGUUAGCUAUGCAGUAUAGAAUUCUGAUAUUAAUGUCCAUCUUUGCAUCUUUAAUAAAUACU